rnacentral:misc_RNA from 1 species
AUCCAAUGGCUGAUGAACAAAUAGAUUAUGAGGACGAGGAGUAUGGGGGAGCUCAGAAAGUUCAAUAUCAGGGAAGUGGUGCCAUACCUGCACUUGCAGAGGAAGAGAUGGGGGAAGAUGAUGAAUAUGAUGAUCUCUACAAUGAUGUAAAUGUUGGAGAGAAUUUCCUACAGAUGCACCGAUCUGAGGUUCCACCACCACCUGCUAGUAUGGGCAAUGGAGGAUUCCAAUCUCGGAAUGUUGAUGAAUCAAGAGUUGAAAGUAGUGGUUCACAGGGACUGAACAAACCUGGGGUGGCAAUUGAAGAGAAGUAUUCUAAUGCCACAACACAUUUUCAUGAGCAGAGAGAAGUUCCCAUGGGUGUUAAGGGGCCAGAAAUGGGAUCUGUUGGCUACCCAGAUGGGUCUACUGUUGCACAAAAAGGGAGGGUUAUGGAGAUGACUCAUGAUUCUCAAGCACGAAAUAUGGGGUUUCAAGGAACAACAUCUGUGCCCUCCAACAUUGGGGUUGAUCCUUCUUCUGAUAUGAGUAGAAAAAUUGCCAAUGAGUCUUCACCUUUGCCAAAUACUGGCACCAGUGGUCCUCGAGGCAUUCAACAGUUGUCAACUAAUCAAAUUAGUGUGAAUAUGGAUGCCAAUCGUCCUGCAAUGAAUGAAAAUCAAAUCCGGCCACCAAUAGAGAAUGGUUCAACCAUGCUGUUUGUGGGAGAAUUACAUUGGUGGACAACUGAUGCAGAGCUUGAGAGUG